UUUGAUAAAUCGAAGUAAAUC
rnacentral:piRNA from 1 species